UUUGCCCACUAGAGGAGGACUGCAGACGCUGGGGCCUGUGCCGAAGGGUACAUCAGAUUCAGAACAGAAAGGAUCUGAAGCUCUCAGGAUUCAAGGUUAUCUUCCAUUUAUUGACUCACCCGGAGAUGAUGGAGCCUGAUCUACUGUAGAACCUGAGUGCAUCAAGACAGUGUUUGCUCCAUGCAUUUUCAGCUUAGCCACAUUAUCAAGACUCAAUUGUGGAAAAAAAGAAAAAAAUGUAGGGAAGAGAACUUCUGCGUGUACAAAAAAA